rnacentral:rRNA from 1 species
AAUACUCUCUAGUGACCGAUAGUGAACCAGUACCGUGAGGGAAAGGUGAAAAGCACCCCGGAAGGGGAGUGAAAUAGAACCUGAAACCGUGUGCUUACAAGUAGUCAGAGCCCGUUAAUGGGGGAUGGCGUGCCUUUUGUAGAAUGAACCGGCGAGUUACGAUUUGAUGCAAGGUUAAGCAGUAAAUGUGGAGCCGUAGCGAAAGCGAGUCUGAAUAGGGCGUUUAGUAUUUGGUCGUAGACCCGAAACCAGGUGAUCUACCCUUGGUCAGGUUGAAGUUCAGGUAACACUGAAUGGAGGACCGAACCGACUUACGUUGAAAAGUGAGCGGAUGAACUGAGGGUAGCGGAGAAAUUCCAAUCGAACCUGGAGAUAGCUGGUUCUCUCCGAAAUAGCUUUAGGGCUAGCCUCAAGUGAUGAUUAUUGGAGGUAGAGCACUGUUUGGACGAGGGGCCCCUCU